rnacentral:rRNA from 1 species
GGGGAAUAUUGCACAAUGGGGGAAACCCUGAUGCAGCAACGCCGCGUGAGUGAUGACGGCCUUCGGGUUGUAAAGCUCUGUCUUCAGGGACGAUAAUGACGGUACCUGAGGAGGAAGCCACGGCUAACUACGUGCCAGCAGCCGCGGUAAUACGUAGGUGGCAAGCGUUGUCCGGAUUUACUGGGCGUAAAGGGAGCGUAGGCGGACUUUUAAGUGAGAUGUGAAAUACCCGGGCUCAACCUGGGUGCUGCAUUUCAAACUGGAAGUCUAGAGUGCAGGAGAGGAGAGUGGAAUUCCUAGUGUAGCGGUGAAAUGCGUAGAGAUUAGGAAGAACACCAGUGGCGAAGGCGACUCUCUGGACUGUAACUGACGCUGAGGCUCGAAAGCGUGGGGAGCAAAC